AGGGAAACAGCCCAGACCACCAGCUAAGGUCCCAAAAUAUAUGUUAAGUGGAAAAGGAUGUGGCGUUGCCCAGACAACUAGGAUGUUGGCUUAGAAGCAGCCAUCAUUUAAAGAGUGCGUAAUAGCUCACUAGUCGAGUGACACUGCGCCGAAAAUGUACCGGGGCUAAACAUAUUACCGAAGCUGUGGAUUGUCCUUUGGACAAUGGUAGGAGAGCGUUCUAAGGGCGUUGAAGCAUGAUCGUAAGGACAUGUGGAGCGCUUAGAAGUGAGAAUGCCGGUGUGAGUAGCGAAAGACGGGUGAGAAUCCCGUCCACCGAUUGACUAAGGUUUCCAGAGGAAGGCUCGUCCGCUCUGGGUUAGUCGGGUCCUAAGCUGAGGCCGACAGGCGUAGGCGAUGGAUAACAGGUUGAUAUUCCUGUACCACCUAUAAUCGUUUUAAUCGAUGGGGGGACGCAGUAGGAUAGGCGAAGCGUGCGAUUGGAUUGCACGUCUAAGCAGUAAGGCUGAGUAUUAGGCAAAUCCGGUACUCGUUAAGGCUGAGCUGUGAUGGGGAGAAGACAUUGUGUCUUCGAGUCGUUGAUUUCACACUGCCGAGAAAAGCCUCUAGAUAGAAAAUAGGUGCCCGUACCGCAAACCGACACAGGUAGUCAAGAUGAGAAUUCUAAGGUGAGCGAGCGAACUCUCGUUAAGGAACUCGGCAAAAUGACCCCGUAACUUCGGGAGAAGGGGUGCUCUUUAGGGUUAACGCCCAGAAGAGCCGCAGUGAAUAGGCCCAAGCGACUGUUUAUCAAAAACACAGGUCUCUGCUAAACCGUAAGGUGAUGUAUAGGGGCUGACGCCUGCCCGGUGCUGGAAGGUUAAGAGGAGUGGUUAGCUUCUGCGAAGCUACGAAUCGAAGCCCCAGUAAACGGCGGCCGUAACUAUAACGGUCCUAAGGUAGCGAAAUUCCUUGUCGGGUAAGUUCCGACCCGCACGAAAGGCGUAACGAUUUGGGCACUGUCUCAACGAGAGACUCGGUGAAAUCAUAGUACCUGUGAAGAUGCAGGUUACCCGCGACAGGACGGAAAGACCCCGUGGAGCUUUACU
rnacentral:rRNA from 1 species